GCGGGGCUCAGGAGCCAGCCCAGCCCAGCCCAGCCCGCCAGCACCGCCGGCACGGGGGCCGGGGGAGGGCGCCCCGGCUGCCCCAGCCAGCUGGACUCGCCCCGCUGAUAACACCUCCCCGGGGUCGGGCCUCGGGAGCGUCUUGGGGAGCCUCUGAGCCUGUCCUCGGUGUUUCUGUGUUCUGCUGCCUCCGCCCGGCACCCCUCCCUCCGGGAUCCCUCCUACGGGCAGGACGAGCGGAGGAGCCGGGGAGCGCGGAGCUGUGCCCGGAGCGCCCUGCGCCGCGUCUGUCGCGGGCUGGGGUGUGCACCGCCCCCGAAAUUCGGAUGAGGAAGUCAUCAAAGGAGCCUUUAAAGGAACCUCUAGGAGGCUGAUUGCUAAGACUCCAUAGAUCCCCAGGAAGACAAAGGUAAGCUGCUACCUUUCUUCAGAGCCUUCAACUGUGAACCUGUUCUCUCAAUGAUAGCUGUAAUAUGAGGCCUUUUCAAGGACUGCAUCCUUUGCCCUAUAAAGUCAGUUUGCAUCUUCUAAUCACAGAAUGACCUGACUACUUUGCAUCCAUUUCAUGUCUAAAUUCUGCCCAUUUUUUAAGUAUACCUAAAUUAUUGGGAAAAGCAAGCUAUUGAUGUAAGAUUUCACUCUUUUCUUCUGAAUCGG
rnacentral:lncRNA from 1 species